GACGAACCGAGCGAACGUUGUUCGGAAUCACUGGGCUUAAAGGGCGCGUAGGCGGGCUGUCAAGUCUGGGGUGAAAUCCCACGGCUCAACCGUGGAACUGCCUCAGAUACUGACGGUCUCGAGGGAGGUAGGGGCGAGCGGAACUGAUGGUGGAGCGGCGAAAUGCGUUGAUAUCAUCAGGAACUCCGGUGGCGAAGGCGGCUCGCUGGACCUUUUCUGACGCUGAGGCGCGAAAGCUAGGGGAGCAAACGGG
rnacentral:rRNA from 1 species